rnacentral:rRNA from 2 species
GUGUAGCGGUGAAAUGCGUAGAUAUAUGGAAGAACACCAGUGGCGAAGGCGGCUGUCUGGUCUGUAACUGACGCUGAGGCUCGAAAGUAUGGGUAGCAAACAGGAUUAGAUACCCUGGUAGUCCAUACCGUAAACGAUGAAUGCUAAGUGUUGGAGGGUUUCCGCCCUUCAGUGCUGCAGCUAACGCAUUAAGCAUUCCGCCUGGGGAGUACGGCCGCAAGGCUGAAACUCAAAGGAAUUGACGGGGGCCCGCACAAGCGGUGGAGCAUGUGGUUUAAUUCGAAGCUACGCGAAGAACCUUACCAGGUCUUGACAUACUAUGCAAAUCUAAGAGAUUAGACGUUCCCUUCGGGGACAUGGAUACAGGUGGUGCAUGGUUGUCGUCAGCUCGUGUCGUGAGAUGUUGGGUUAAGUCCCGCAACGAGCGCAACCCUUAUUAUCAGUUGCCAGCAUUAAGUUGGGCACUCUGGUGAGACUGCCGGUGACAAACCGGAGGAAGGUGGGGAUGACGUCAAAUCAUCAUGCCCCUUAUGACCUGGGCUACACACGUGCUACAAUGGAUGGUACAACGAGUUGCGAACUCGCGAGAGUAAGCUAAUCUCUUAAAGCCAUUCUCAGUUCGGAUUGUAGGCUGCAACUCGCCUACAU